UAUGUUUUGUUCGCAGAUAUCGAA
rnacentral:siRNA from 1 species